GCCCCAGGAGUUGUAGAUAGAGGGUAGUGUACCUGUACUAACUGCCUCAUUAGGUUUCCAUGUGGAUUAAAUGGAAAAGGUUUAGCAGUUACUAGCACAUCCUAAACCAACAGAUAGUCCAUUUCCUAAAAACUUGUUGCAUUCAAUGUAUUAGGUAUAUCAGUUAAGCAAUUCUGUUGUAUCAUGCCAUCAAUUUUAUUCUUCUUAUAAGAACAUUGUAAGGCAGUGUCUGAAGUGCUUCAGUACUGGGGCUGCUGGGUGGCUCAGUUGGUUAAACAUCCAACUUUUGGUUUUGGCUCAGAUCAUGAUCUCAGGGCCCUGGGACUGAGCCCCAUAUUGGGCUCCCUCCUGCAGAGUCUGCUUUUCCCUCUUCCUCUGCUCCUCCAUCAGCUCCCAAACAGGAAGCUCUCUCUCUCUCUCUCUCUCUUAAAUAAAUAAAUAAAUAAAUAAAUAAAUAAAUAAAUAAAUAAAAUCUUUAGAGUGUUUCAUUAUUGCCUCCAGAAUAUUUUUUUCAGGAUGCCUUCCUAACUUUUUUUUUUUCAGUGCUUUUUUGAUUUUCAGAAAGUUUCAACUGCUAAGUUUUUUUAGGUUGUGAAGCAGACUUAUGUUCCUUAUUCCAAAGGCAUCCACACGGUUCAACUGAAAGAAGAGCCAAGCUCAAAGGUGCACAAGCAACAAGGACUGACGUCACUGCCCGAGUACUGUCCUAAGAAGCCUUCAGCUGCUAAGGGACACUCCAGAUUCAGAGGGGGAAAAAAAGCAAGACAAAGAAGAGCUCCCUUUGCAGACGUGGCCUCGGCCCCCGGUGCAGUUCCUCC
rnacentral:lncRNA from 12 species